ensembl:lncRNA
AUUUUAGUAUGUUUUACAAUUUUGUUAUGUGCCAUUUUAUUGUAGUUUUAAUUUGUAUUAUUUUCAGUUAGUAAUUGUAGUGCUUUUGCUUCAACUUAAUUAAUUGCCAAUGCAAUAUUUUUCAUUUUCAUUUAGUUAAAGUUUUUCCAUCUAAAAUUCAUAUUUAAUGUUAUUUCAUUUACCUUAUAAUUUUUUUUAAACAUAGUUUUAGUUAACUCUAAUAACCCUCAUACAUUAUUUAAAGUUAUAAAUUGAAUAACUAAAAUAUGUGUGUUAUAGUUUGGAUAUUCAUAUAAAAUGCAGAUGUAUGUAUUCUAGUCCAUAUAAAGGUGUUUAAGAAUUGUUUAAAACCAGGUGAAACACAAAACACUUGGCUUAAAGAUUUUUCUAUGUGUUGUCUCUGGUGAAAGCAUAUAUGGAGAUGUUUUGGGCGUGUUAUGCUAAUUGUUUUACAGGCCUGCCCUCAUUUUGAAUAAUCUGAAUUCUUCAAUGUUUAAAUGUAAGACCAAAUUUAUGCUGUGAAUCAAGCAAAGCUUUUAUGCAUGCACAGGUAUGCAAAUGACAGUGUGCAAUAGUUUUCUUCCAAGAUAUGACCCUUUAAAGCAGACUUCAGCCUCACACACACACACACACAUGUUAGUGUUGAACACACCGCGGCUGCUCUGUGAUUUCGGCAUUUUAAGAGUGAGUGAAUGACAGAGCUUACCCUAGUUAAACAGAUGCAACUAGUACUCUCACUGACAGGUGAACGGGGAAGAAUCAAAUCUGUUUUGGAUCCAGCAAUCGAACCCCAUUCUGUUUAGAUCCUCUGAUGUUUCCGGCUGCCCGGGACGAACCGGUGUGCCCGUCCAUCGGGGAGUUUCUGCUUUGAUGCUCGGACAUUAAACAGGACGUCUGUCAGGAGGCGUUUCGCUGCGUUCGCCGGUUAGCUGAGUAAAUCUGCGUGUCCUCUGCUCGAGUGGACUUCUCUUUAUGUGAGACAGACAGACAGCAGGCCGACAGAGACGCACGUCCUUUUUCAUUGCUCGGCCUGAAAUGAAAGGAAGUUUGCAGGCCUUUGAUGUCAUUCUGUGGGCUGUGAUCUCUUCUGCUUAAUUAAGACACAGUGCUUGGUCUUUACACAGCGGACGAGAGUGAACCUGUGCCGGCAGGUAUUCAUAAUCACAUCUAGAAUGAACUGCUGGCCGGAGAUCUGAAGCCUUUUCAGAUCUGUGUCCAUUUGACUUUAAAGUUUGGUUCCAGUCAGCUGGUCAUUACCGCUAAAUAACCCUGACCAGAGUGACCAGGACCAGCUAACUAAACAAACAAACAAAGUCGAUUCCAAAGGGACACUAAAAUCUUUUUUUUUUUUUUAACACAUAUAUAAUGUUAAAACUACAGUAGGUAGACAUCCAAAACGUCACUUCUACCCAGUGCCGGCGCUGUGGUGGGGCAUUCGAGGGCCGUGCCCCCCCUAGCGGUCAUUGAUGCCCCUCCUACAGGCCAUGGCGUGGCCCAAAAAAAAAAAUCCCUUUUAGUUAUUAUUUUAAUAUUAAAUGUUCAAACUGUAACUUAAAGUAAAUAAAAUAAAAAGAAUGGGGAAAAUGCAUAAUUUUGGUUGCUCAUGGCACGUUACUAGGCUUCGUCAUGGUGAAUGCUUAUUGGUCGCCGAGUAAACUUGUUACAUUUGAUUUGCAGCGCGCGCGCAAAAUCCAUUUCAAGUUGAAGAACAGUUUGUCCGUCUAUAUUAUAGACAGUUGUUAGCAGCUAAUUAUAAAAAAAAAAAACACACAGGUGAAUUGUUGAUGAAUGUUUGUGGGUUCUAACUGCAUUUGUGUUUUAUACUUGGCUGUCUGUAAAGAUAUACGGCCUUAUGUCAUUUCUGCUUGGUGCGUGCAUAAACUGUUGGGAGGUGUGUAACCCAGGUUAAAACCAAGUAUUAGCAUAAAGUAAUAGCAGAAAAUACAUUUAUUUUUGUCCUUUAUUUAUUUUGUUUAGAAAAUGAGUCCUUUAGAGUAUUUAAAGUCCUUGAAACCCUAAGAAAAAACGGUGUUUAAAGAAAUUAUUUUUAUUUGUUGAAGCACACU